AACGGAGUGAUCAAGGAAAUUAUGCUGUCGGAAUCAAAUAUUGGUCCAGUUGGAGCUUCUCUUCUUGCUUCAGCACUUAAGGUGAAUGGAAGCUUAGAAGAGUUGCAGAUAUGGGAAGACUCCAUUGGCUCAAAGGGUGCAGAGGAGCUGUCCAAAAUGAUAGAAGUUAACUCAACAUUGAAGCUACUCACCAUUUUCGAUUCCAAGUCUAUUACUGCCACACCUUUGAUUUCAGCAGUUCUUGCGAGGAACAGGUCAAUGGAAGUGCAUAUUUGGAAUGGAGAGAACAAUGAGAAAAUUUCAAAGGUGGUUGAAUUUGUACCUGAAAACAGCACCCUUAGGAUAUAUCGCCUUAAUGUCUCAGGUGCUUGUAGAGUUGCUUGUGCUUUAGGGAUGAAUUCAACUGUGAAGACACUCGAUCUGACAGGAGUACGGUUGAAGUCCCGUUGGGCAAAGGAAUUCCGAUGGGUU
rnacentral:lncRNA from 1 species